CCCCUCUCAGGGUCGCACCUGGAGAGUUUCUAGUACUCUACUAGUCUUGACUAUCGGAGGGAGAGUCAAGCAGAUGCAUACCCAUUCCAUUCCUAGCUUGGGUAGUAGCUAGCAAGUGGAAGACUUAUGCUACAAGU
rnacentral:snoRNA from 2 species